GGCUACGGCCGUGCCACCCUGAACGCGCCCGAUCUCGUCUGAUCUUGGAAGCUAAGCAGGGUCGGGCCUGGUUAGUACUUGGAUGGGAGACCCCCUCUGCAGGCCCCUGGCAGGCGCAGGCC
rnacentral:rRNA from 1 species